rnacentral:rRNA from 1 species
GGGGUAAUUUCCGCAAUGGGCGAAAGCCUGACGGAGCAAUCUCGCGUGAGGGAUGACUGCCUAUGGGUUGUAAACCUCUUUUUUCAGGGAGGAAUCAAUGACGUGUACCUGAAGAAUAAGCAUCGGCUAACUC